CAGCAGCCGCGGUAACACGUAGGGUGCGAGCGUUGUCCGGAAUUAUUGGGCGUAAAGAGCUCGUAGGCGGUGUGUCGCGUCGGCCGUGAAAACCUGGGGCUUAACUCUGGGCGUGCGGUCGAUACGGGCAUCACUGGAGUUCGGCAGGGGAGACUGGAAUUCCUGGUGUAGCGGUGAAAUGCGCAGAUAUCAGGAGGAACACCGGUGGCGAAGGCGGGUCUCUGGGCCGAUACUGACGCUGAGGAGCGAAAGCAUGGGUAGCGAACAGGAUUAGAUACCCUGGUAGUCCAUGCCGUAAACG
rnacentral:rRNA from 1 species